rnacentral:rRNA from 1 species
UACGUAGGGUGCGAGCGUUAAGCGGAAUUACUGGGCGUAAAGCGUGCGCAGGCGGUUCGUUGUGUCGGCGGUGAAAGCCCCGGGCUCAACCUGGGAAUGGCCGUUGAAACUGGCGAACUGGAGUGUGGCAGAGGGGGGUGGAAUUCCGCGUGUAGCAGUGAAAUGCGUAGAGAUGGGGAGGAACACCGAUGGCGAAGGCAGCCCCCUGGGCUGACACUGACGCUCAGGCACGAAAGCGUGGGGAGCAAACAGG